GUACCUUUUUUAGUUUCAGAGUAUUAAAUUUACUGGAAAUGACCAUUUUAUUUUGCGACAUCAAUUUUACAAUGCUUUAUCUGGUCAUCCCAGCCUGAUCGCGGGCUAGAGCGAAUUCUUCGAAUUUCGCAAUUUUCAAGCAAUCCAACACUUUCACAAAGAUUUUUAUUUGCGAUCAUUUCGUUGGAAAGAAGACACAAAUAUGUUAUCUAAAUUGUGAAGUAAGAAAGAUUUAAUUGAAAUGGCAAGUGCUUCAUCAGAAAGUGUUCCUGUUGAUGAAAUCAACGAACUACUCACAUGUUGCAUGUGUUUGGAAACCCUACAAGAACCACGAAGCUUGGCUUGCUUUCAUAAUUUUUGUAAAGUCUGUUUAGGUGAGUAUAUUUUACUUUUUAAAAAAAUCUACUUUGCACAUGCUUGCAUGAGUACCACAGAAUAGGAAUAUAUCCUUAUCCUGUGAUGGGUAAUGACUGAAUUCAUAAUUUAAUACAAGGUUGGAAAGAUUAAUGUUAAUUUACUUGCAAAGAUAGUAGAUUAAUAUUACUAGAUAGGAAUAUAUCCAUUCCCCGAUAUUAGUCGUUCAACUGAUGUAUUUAAUAUAUGCACUGUAUGCUUCUCAUUUUAAUACAACCUUGUCUACACAGCAAAAAACGCAGAGCCCGCUGCUCAACAGGAUUGAACAAUGUUUUGCUGCCCACGUUGUUCACAGUUGUCAACAAUAUUGAACAGUAUUUAUUGUUGAGCCUGAAUUGGGUGUAACAAUAUUGUUCAAUAUUGAUGACAACUGUGAACAAUGUGGGCAGCAAAGCAAAUGUUCAAUCCUGUUUUCAAUAUUGCAACAACCUUAUCGUUUUUUGCCGUGUAGGAAUGAUAUACAACAAAGAGGAUAUAUAUACUUCAUGUAAGGCCACAUAAAAGGCCCCCCUCAGGAUUUUUUUUUAUUUAUUAUAUUUAGAAAAAAACAACUUUUAUUGAUCAACAGGCUCUAAUUGUGAUAUUUCUGUUGACUGUAGUCAAUUGUGUUAAUAAAUUUUGAAAUUGCAUGCGAAAAUGACGGUAUGAAUCAUAUUUUGAAAUAUAUAAAAAAAAUAUCUGUACUGCACGAGAAAAUCCAGUUUCGGACCUAAAACCAAGGAGUUACGAAAAUUAGUAUUAAAUUAAAAAAAACCCCGCUCGCCCGCCCACUUUUUGGCAAAAGCUAAGGAUGCUAACCAACUAUUUUUUAUGUGGCCUAACAUAGUAAUAGAGGAUUGUCUCCAGUAUAUUAUAUAUAUUUAUUAUUAAUUAAAUUAUUAGUAAAGUUAAAAGUUAAAAACUAAUGGUAAUUUACAAUGUUGGACAUAGAAGAAAUGAAGGACUUAUCGAAGCGAUCACUACUACAAAGCGGAAUGUUAAAUCUUCACACUUUCAACGACUGAAAGAUCCAACCCAUUAUUAACUGACAACGAUUUGAAAGAGUGCCAGUUCUUUACACUUGUCAGUGCCCAUUAAUUCAGUUGCAUCAAAUUCUCCCUAGACCAGUCGGCAACAGCAUUGAUGGCAUUUUGGGCAUCGCUCUUGUUAUUGCGGGGUACAAUUUCGGCAAUCGUGUCAUCGACAUCUCAGUUCCAUUUGUUCACAUCAUGAAUGACUAGAUUGUUUAUCAUUAAAAGAAAUAAGCAUGGCAUGGACCCAGUGGCUGCUGCUGGUACCGAACCCAGUCAGAGCAACAGUUGAUGGCUAACUUAAUGCACUGUUUCCGGUUGGUCAAAAAGUCAAUUACCCAGUACGCGACACCACAGGGAAUUGAGAUAGGUUGAACAUUUUUUGGACAGAAGAAGGUUGUGGUCAGUUAAGUCGAAUGCUUUUUCAUAAUCGAACAGAAACUGUGGCACCUGAUCCCUCUGUAGCUUUCAGCCAGUGGUGAACCAUAGACACUAGGGCAUGAGUUGUAGAGAAUUGGGUAUACAACCAUAUGUUUUCAUAUCACGUCACAGGGGUCAACUUUAAAACAAAACACAGUUAUCAGAGUGAGUCGAUUGUUCGUUUUAUGUAUUUGGUGGCAAAUACAUGGAAUUUCAUAUAAUUUUCUUACUCCAGUACAGCAUAAGCAUCAAUACAUUUGAGGUUGACCCCCCAUCAGAUUCACUACAUAAUGCUGUAGUGAAAGCUAAUUUACUGUAGAUGAAAUUUUGGAAAUUAUAUUUUGUAGAGACUUGUGUAAUAGUCAUAUCCCAGCGGGCAAAAUGACGUUUAUCCAACGUUGAAUCAACGUUGGA